rnacentral:rRNA from 1 species
UUUACUUUGAAAAAAUUGGAGUGCUCAAAUCAGCCCAAUGCCUGAACAGAUGUGCAUGGAAUAAUGGAAAAGGACUUCGGUUCUAUUUUGUUGGUUUUCGGAACAUGAAGUAAUGAUUAAGAGGGACAGACGGGGGCAUUCGUAUUGCGGUGGGAGAGGUGAAAUUCUUGGAUCAUCGCAAGACGCCCUACAGCGAAAGCAUUUGCCAAGAAUGUUUCCAUUAAUCAAGAACGAAAGUCAGAGGUUCGAAGACGAUCAGAUACCGUCCUAGUUCUGACCAUAAACGAUGCCAACUGGCAAUCCGUUGCGAUUGCAAGUUCGAUCCAACGGGCAGCCUCCGGGAAACCAAAGUCUUUGGGUUCCGGGGGAAGUAUGGUUGCAAAGCUGAAACUUAAAGGAAUUGACGGAAAGGCACCACAAGGAGUGAGCCUGCGCUUAAUUUGACUCAACACGGGAAAACUCACCCGGCCCGGACACUGUGAGGAUUGACAGAUUGAAAGCUCUUUCUUGAUUCGGUGGGUGGUGGUGCAUGGCCGUUCUUAGUUGGUGGAGCGAUUUGUCUGGUUAAUUCCGAUAACGAACGAGACUCUCUAGCCUACUAAUAGUACACUCAUCUUGUGUGUGAGUGCCGACUUCUUAGGGGGACAAGUGGCAUUCAAGCCAUACGAAAUUGAGCAAUACAGGUCUGUGAUGCCCUUAGAUGUCCGGGGGCGCACGCGCGCUACACUGAAUAGCGUAACGAGUUAUUUUCCUGAUCCGCAAGGGUCGGGCAACCUGUUGAAACCUAUUCGUGACAGGGAUCGGGGCUUGUAAUUAUUCCCCGUGAACGAGGAAUUCCUAGUAAGCGCA